rnacentral:rRNA from 1 species
UACAGAGGGUGCGAGCGUUGUCCGGAAUUACUGGGCGUAAAGGGCGCGUAGGCGGCCUGAUAAGUAUGGGGUGAAAUCUCAAGGCUCAACCUUGAGGCUGCCUUGUAGACUGUCAGGCUUGAGCACGGUAGAGGCAGAUGGAAUUCCCGGUGUAGCGGUGGAAUGCGUAGAGAUCGGGAAGAACACCAGUGGCGAAGGCGGUCUGCUGGGCCGUAGCUGACGCUGAGGCGCGACAGCGUGGGGAGCAAACAGG